UACGAAGGACCCAAGCGUUAUCCGGAUUUAUUGGGUUUAAAGGGUGCGUAGGCGGGUUAUUAAGUCAGUGGUGAAAGCUCCUAGCUCAACUGGGAAAUUGCCAUUGAUACUGAUGAUCUUGAGUAUGAUUGAGGUGGGCGGAAUGUGUCAUGUAGCGGUGAAAUGCUUAGAUAUUACACAGAACACCGAUUGCGAAGGCAGCUCACUAAGCCAUAACUGACGCUGAUGCACGAAAGCGUGGGGAGCAAACAGG
rnacentral:rRNA from 1 species